GUGGGUGAGGGCAGGAGGCCCCUGCAGAGGCAGCGUGGAUCUGCCCACACACAGGCUACUGGAAUAGUUUAACCCAGCAACUUUCCUUUUUAUAAAACAACAAAUGGUUCAACUCUGUCUGCAAAUUAACAACUGAACACCUGCAACUGCAAAUGUUUUUUUGAUCCGACAUACUGAAAUAGGAAGUCAUGCUCUUCCCACCCUCCACCCACCAGAGUGGAACCCGCUGCAAAAUCCCCGGCCUUAAUUCUUGCUUCAGGACCCAGACCGGUGUCUUGCUCUAGGGCAGCCCAGGGCAGAGAGAUCGGAAGGGCAUGCCCCAAAGGAAAGAGCUGCCACAGGCCAGGGAGCUGCAGAUGUGGGUCUAGGGCUGAGGCUUUGAAGCGUAUUCCGUUGCUCACGCGAGGCCGAGCUGCCAAGCUGCUGUCUAGUUCCCGGAGCACAGGGGGGCUCUGUGUGCUCUGCGGGCAGGGGACUGGAGGGUUGCAGAUGCAGGGCUGGGUAGCCCCUCCAGCCCCCACACCAGCACCCCCUCUCUUCCCAAGGUCAGCAGCAUGCUGCUCCAGGCCAGGGGCCUCUGGACAGGCGAUGCCCAUGUUUAAAAAGAAGCACGUGAAUGGUUCUUUCAAAAUGUUUGAACUCUGCCCUUGGUAUGACUGAUCUGGCUCCUCUGUCCCCCUCUGGGUAGAAAACACACUGGGGGAGGAAGUGCUGAGUGCGCAGGGGCUCCCUGGCUAACUGGCAACCUGGGGCUGGGGGCUGACAGAGCCAGCACCCCCACUGGGAACGGGAGCCCACUGUUCCUUACAGGAGCCUCCUCCCAUUAGGGAAUGCCUGGCGCCCCAGGGGUGUUCCGCUCACCCACACAACAGGGAGUGGCAGAGAGCAGAGUUGAGGGGACAGGAAGCAGCUCAGCCCUGCAGCUGGAGCCACUGAGGAGGAUGGAGAGCUGCGGAGCCUGGCUUCUCCCCAGGAACAUGUCCGCCCUGACCCAGUGGCCCUCUGAUGUCUGCUAUCCUGUGUUCACACGGAAAGACAGUCUUCCAAUUUAAUCAUGCAAUUUGAUGCUACCCUACUAUUUCCAUAUGGACAAAUAACUCAAAACCAAGUUAAACUAGGAGGAAGCGGCUGACCUGUUGGCUCUUUUUGGAGCGCAGCUGGUAUGUCUUUGACACACUGAAAGGAAACUCCCACGCCCUCACCCUCCUCUGAUCAGGGUUGCAGGUUGGCGCCGAGGACCCAGGGACGCGGUGCUGCCCGUGUGCCGUGCCGUGCCGUCCUGGGGAGACUCCCAGGCUGAUGCUGAUGGCGACAGAGGCAGGAGCUCUGGAGACAGCAGAGGGACAGGCAAUGAUGUCCACAGUUACCCAGGGUAGGCAGCACUGGAAUGGAAAUCACUAAGUAAGAGACGGAGCCAGAUCAAACCACCAUCAUCAAAUGAGGUCCUUUCGAUGAGGAUUAGGAGAAAAGCUUCUUAGAAUUGCUAUUUUUCAAUCCCCAGUUGAGUACUGUGGUGUGGGGGAAGCACGGAGUCCCAGUUCUGCGUUCCCGACGCUGAUGGGCAGGUGGCUGCCUCUCCAAUGCUCCACUAAACACAACUGCAGGGGCGGCUAAGCCAUGGCAGUCCCCGGCAGGUGUGGCCAUGCCAGAACUCGGUAUA
ensembl:lncRNA